UCCAGCUUUUUGGUAGUUAAUUGGGAGAUAAGAGUUUCUUGGAUUUUUCUGCCUGUGUUGACUCUGAACCUCAAUCCUCAGAGCUCAGCCUCCUGAGUAGCUAGAAUUCGAGAAGUGAUGCCUAUCUUAUCCUAAUUUCUUAAAGACCUUGAUAAUUGUUCAAGGUCAUUUUAUAUUAAGAGCUGGUAUGAAUGGGUUUGGGGCUAUAGAUCUGUGGUAGAAUUCUGACCUAGCAUAUGUGAGAACCUGGGUUUGAUCUCCAGCACUUCAAAAA